rnacentral:rRNA from 1 species
GCGAUCCCUAGAUGGUUUGGGAGGAUGUUCAGCCCCACUGGAAAUGAGCCCCGGUCCCGAAUCCUACGGGAGGCAGCAGUGGGGAAUAUUGCACAAUUGGCGCAAGCCUGAAGCAGCCAUACCGCGUGUUUGAAGAAGGCCUUCGGGUUGUAAAGCACUUUCAGUCGUGAGGAAGGUAGUGUAGUUAAUAGCUGCCUUAUUUGACGUUAGCGACAGAAGAAGCACCGGCUAACUCCGUGCCAGCAGCCGCGGUAAUACGGAGGGUGCGAGCGUUAAUCGGAAUUACUGGGCGUAAAGCGCAUGCAGGUGGUUUGUUAAGUCAGAUGUGAAAGCCCGGGGCUCAACCUCGGAAUUGCAUUUGAAACUGGCAGACUAGAGUACUGUAGAGGGGGGUAGAAUUUCAGGUGUAGCGGUGAAAUGCGUAGAGAUCUGAAGGAAUACCGGUGGCGAAGGCGGCCCCCUGGACAGAUACUGACACUCAGAUGCGAAAGCGUGGGGAGCAAACAGGAUUAGAUACCCUGGUAGUCCACGCCGUAAACGAUGUCUACUUGGAGGUUGUGGCCUUGAGCCGUGGCUUUCGGAGCUAACGCGUUAAGUAGACCGCCUGGGGAGUACGGUCGCAAGAUUAAAACUCAAAUGAAUUGACGGGGGCCCGCACAAGCGGUGGAGCAUGUGGUUUAAUUCGAUGCAACGCGAAGAACCUUACCUACUCUUGACAUCCAGAGAACUUUCCAGAGAUGGAUUGGUGCCUUCGGGAACUCUGAGACAGGUGCUGCAUGGCUGUCGUCAGCUCGUGUUGUGAAAUGUUGGGUUAAGUCCCGCAACGAGCGCAACCCUUAUCCUUGUUUGCCAGCGAGUAAUGUCGGGAACUCCAGGGAGACUGCCGGUGAUAAACCGGAGGAAGGUGGGGACGACGUCAAGUCAUCAUGGCCCUUACGAGUAGGGCUACACACGUGCUACAAUGGCGCAUACAGAGGGCAGCCAACUUGCGAAAGUGAGCGAAUCCCAAAAAGUGCGUCGUAGUCCGGAUU